GGCCGGGCUUGGGGAAGGGCGGGGCCUGGGGCGGGGCCUCGCCAGCCCGCGGCCCGUCGCCUUGACGACCGCAACAAGAUGGCGACGCCUCCGGACGCGCAGCCGCUGCCCGACCCCUCGGUGCUUAGCCCCGCUAAGCUGGAGCAGUUGAGAAAAUUCAAGAUCCAGAUUCGGAUUGCUAAUGAGAAGUAUCUAAGGACCCACAAAGAAGUAGAGUGGCUCAUAAGUGGUUUCUUCAGAGAAAUCUUUUUGAAAAGACCAGACAACAUCCUACAGUUUGCUGCAGACUACUUCACGGAUCCAAGACUUCCCAACAAGAUUCACAUGCAGCUAAUUAAAGACAAGAGUGUGGCUUAAUUAGCAAAACCAUGAUGCUCAGCUGUUGGGAGAGACCAGACAGAAUCCAGCCUCGGGGGAAGUGAGAGCGUCUCCUCAGCUGCAGCCGACUCACUGGCCAGAGCCGUGGGCGUGCCCCCUCCUGAAGGGAGGCUGGGAAAUGGAGUAUUUCGGCAGCCUACAGCGCCCUAGAUAGCUUCUUGUCACUGCCACCGAGAGUCCUUUCCUACACUUUGGGAGGCCGACGUGGGCGGAUCAUGAGGUCAGGAGAUCCAGACCAUCCUGGCCAAGAUGGUGAAACCCUGUCUCUACUAAAAAUAUAAAACUUAGACGAGUGUGGCAGCACAUGCCUGUAAUCCCAGCUACUUGGGAGGCUGAGGCAGGAGAAUCGCUUGAACCUGGGAGGCGGAGGUUGCAGUGAGCUGAGAUCGUGCCACUGCACUCCAGCCUGGCAACAGAGCAAGACUUGUCUCAAAAUUAUACAUAAAUAAAAUAUUUAUAUAUUUA